rnacentral:tRNA from 1 species
AGAGUAUAGCUCCAAUGGUAGAGCACGUGCUUUGCAUGCACGAGGUCCUGGGUUCAAUCCCCAGCACGUCUU